UCGAAUGCGAAAUGUUUUAACUCAUAAUCUAACACAAUUCUCUAUUUCCUUGCUGCAUAGAAUUUUUUGGAAUUCAACUUUCUCAAUUUGGGUUGUAAACGACGCAUUUAUGUCGUAUGAACAUUUGAAAAAGAUUAUUAAGUAAUAUAUUGAAGUUGUUUAGUGUAAAAAAAUAGUACAAAGUAUAGACAUCUCAUAUAUUUAGAGGCUAAUUACAUCCUAUCCCAGAAGUUUCCUCAAUUACAAAAAUCUCAAAUUUUUCGUUGCUCUCGAAUACAUUCCUUGGUUGUCUAAUACAUUACUAAUGAUAUAUAUUACUUCAUGGGAGGGAUGUAUCCAAGAGGGGAUAUCUAUGAUCCAAGAGGG
rnacentral:lncRNA from 1 species